rnacentral:rRNA from 1 species
UACGUAGGGGGCAAGCGUUGUCCGGAAUCAUUGGGCGUAAAGAGCGUGUAGGCGGCCAGAUAAGUCCGCUGUGAAAUCUCGAGGCUCAACUUCGAGCUGUCGGUGGAAACUGUCUGGCUAGAGUCCGGAAGAGGAGAAUGGAAUUCCUGGUGUAGCGGUGAAAUGCGCAGAUAUCAGGAAGAACACCUGCGGCGAAGGCGGGUUGCUGGGCCGACACUGACGCUGAUGCGCGAAAGCCAGGGGAGCGAACGGG